rnacentral:tRNA from 1 species
GUGGCUUAGUGGUAUAGCACAGGACUUGUAGGCCUGAGAUCCUGAGUUUGAUUCCCAGC